rnacentral:tRNA from 3 species
GCUCUGAUAGCUCAGGGGUAGAGCGCGUCCUUGGUAAGGACGAGGUCGCGGGUUCAAAUCCCGCUCAGAGCU